GUCGACUGUAAAAAUGAUGACAUGGAUAAUUUUUGUCAACGUACAUUGUAGCCAAAUAGAUUACAGUGUAAAAAUAUAUAUAAAUAUGAAGCUAAGGCCUAGUUCAGACGUCGAAUGUUUCAUUCCCACAACCUAAAGCCAUUGGCUUCAAAGUAAUUUAACUCCUAAACGACAUCUUUACGAGGCGAAAUAAACGAGAGACGAGAACGGAGAG